AUUGAACGCUGGCGGCAGGCCUAACACAUGCAAGUCGAGCGGAUGAAGGGAGCUUGCUCCUGGAUUCAGCGGCGGACGGGUGAGUAAUGCCUAGGAAUCUGCCUGGUCGUGGGGGAUAACGUCCGGAAACGGGCGCUAAUACCGCAUACGUCCUGAUGGUGAAAGUGGGGGAUCUUCGGACCUCACGCUAUCAGAUGAGCCUAGGUCGGAUUAGCUAGUUGGUGGGGUAAAGGCCUACCAAGGCGACGAUCCGUAACUGGUCUGAGAGGAUGAUCAGUCACACUGGAACUGAGACACGGUCCAGACUCCUACGGGAGGCAGCAGUGGGGAAUAUUGGACAAUGGGCGAAAGCCUGAUCCAGCCAUGCCGCGUGUGUGAAGAAGGUCUUCGGAUUGUAAAGCACUUUAAGUUGGGAGGAAGGGCAGUAAGUUAAUACCUUGCUGUUUUGACGUUACCAACAGAAUAAGCACCGGCUAACUUCGUG
rnacentral:rRNA from 1 species